rnacentral:rRNA from 1 species
GACGAACGCUGGCGGCGUGCUUAACACAUGCAAGUCGAACGGAAAGGCCCUGCUUUUGUGGGGUGCUCGAGUGGCGAACGGGUGAGUAAAACGUGAGUAACCUGCCCUUGACUUUGGGAUAACUUCAGGAAACUGGGGCUAAUACCGGAUAGGAGCUCCUGCUGCAUGGUGGGGGUUGGAAAGUUUCGGCGGUUGGGGAUGGUCUCGCGGCUUAUCAGCUUGUUGGUGGGGUAGUGGCUUACCAAGCCUUUGACGGGUAGCCGGCCUGAGAGGGUGACCGGCCACAAUGGGACUGAGAUACGGCGCAGACUCCUACGUGAGGCAACAGUGGAGAAUAUGGCACAAUGGGGGGAAGUGUGAGACAGCAGCGCCGCGUGCGUGAUAACGGGCUUCGGGUGGUGAACCGCUUUCGAAUGUGACGAAGCGUGAGUGACGGUAAUGAGUAAAAAAGCACCGGCUAACUACGUG